CACAUUCGAAGUUUAACUUAAAGGUUAUGGGAAAGAAAUAAGAUGAAAAAAAAGUGUACAAAAAUUAAAAUUUCGUGCUUUUUUUGGGCAUUGUAGCCGAAAAUCAGAAAACUUGAAAUUAAUUAAAAACGGAAAUGGGAUAGAAAGCGUAAAAUUUUUAUUGUCAACUGUUGCCGUGACAAAUUCCCCUUUCAUGCAUUGGCCAAAGCUUUAAGUUUUGCUUCCUCAAUAUUGGCAUUUUAUAAAAUUUUAAUUUUGAUGAUUAUUGCUGAGGUUUCUUUAAAGGUUUUGGUGUUAUUUGACUUACGUAUCGCAUCUUUUAUUCGAUUCAAUAUGCCUCGUUCGUUUAGUAUAUGGGACUUCUAAAGCCAUAUUCGCAUUUAUACGAAAUAAAUAAAAAUCUUUAUUGCA
rnacentral:sRNA from 1 species